CAUUGAGGACAUGAAGUGGGUAUUAGAAUCUCAGUCCCUUCCUCCUUCUGUGCUUCCUGGUCGAUAGGAAGUGAAGAGGGGUUCUUUGCCACCAUGAAGUGGUGCCUCACCACAGGUUCUAAGACAAGGGGCCGACUAUGAUGAGUCAAAAGAAAAGUCUCUUUUAAAGAGAUAUUUUGUUACAGUGGUGGAAAGUCAGCUAACAUACAUGUUCUACUUCAGGGGUUCAGAAACAGCUUUCAGGAGAAGUUGUGAACAUCAAAUAUAGAAAGCUACAAUACAGUCCAGGUGGCAGCUAAAUUGCACAUGAAGCAGACUCUGAAUCUCUGAGAAGUAGAAGGUGAAUGUGAUGGGGAGGUAAUCAAUACAGGCCAAGGAGUGGUGGAUGAGGCUGGGGAGACAUCCAAGUAGUAUGAACUUGAGCAAACCCCUUCACACUUCUGAACUUCAACUUUCUUCAAGAAGAGAGAGAUUUCCACACGCUGAAACUUUAAUGUUGACUUCUCCUCUGAGCUCCAGGCCCUUCUGUGUCAUAUUUAUUCAGUCAAAUUCAUCAAACACACUUAACUAGCUUACAAAGUUGACUUCUUGGUUGCUAACCUACUCUCUCCCUCAGCUUCUUCCACAUCAUCCGGUGCCUCCCUUACCUGCCCAGCUCGAAGGUCAGGAGCCAUCCUCCAUGUAUCUCGGUCCCUCAAUUCUCCAGAAAGGAGGGUGUGCUGCCUCAGAUGACAAGACAGAUCCUAAUCUCAACCACCCUGGCCUUCUCCACUGCAGUGGCCAGAACUUUUCCAUCCCCAAUGAGAUUGCAAUAGUUCUGUAGCGCCCCUGGGUCUACACUUGCUCUCCUGUCACCCAGCAUGCACACACAAGCAAGAAUGCUCUGUCCAUUGUUGUGCCUCUCCUCAACUUGAAAUUCUUAUGAAAAUUUCCUGCUUCACUUUACAUGGAAUGUGGACGCCUCACAUACCAAAAGUAGUUUACAGUGGCAACCUCCAUUUUCUGGAAGCCUAAGUUUACUGAUAUCUUGCCCACCUCCAUGGGAGCAGACCUGCCCACUCCAGUACUUCUUGCUUAUCAGAACGUCUGUCUGGUGUUGAAUGACAGUUCCAGUUAUCUUGCUAAGUCACUGAUUUGUGGAUGAAAUCUCCUCACAGUGGACCCACUCUGCUCAAGAGCCAGAACCUGUUCCUCCAGACGGCCCAUUACGGCUUCAUGUAUGAGAUAACACUGAAAUCUGACCACCAGUGACUUAGGACCAGACAUUUAUGAACAUAGACUCAAGUUCAGGUUUUAAGGCACAAAUCCAUUGUCUUUGGUACAACGUUUGGGGCUACUCUCAAUGUGGUGGAUUGAAUAUGUUUGGCACAGGGAGUGGCACUCUUAGGAGGUGUGGCCUUGUUGGAGGAAGUGUGUCACUGUGGGGGUGGACUUUGAGGUUCUUAUGUUCAAGCUCUGCCCAGUGUGGAAUGGGAGCUUCCUCCUGACUUUCUGUUGAUAGGCGUCUCCUUCUGCUGCCUUUGGAUGAACUUGCAGAUGGAUGUAGAACUCUCAGCUCCUUCCCCAGCACAGUGUCUGCCUGGAUGCUGCCAUGCUUUCUGCCAUGAUGAUAAUAGACUGAACCUCUGAAACUGUAAUCCAGCCCCAAUGAAAUGUUUUCCUUUCUAAGACUUGCCUUGAUCAUGGUGUCUCUUCACAGCAAUAAAACCCAAACUAAGACGCUUGAUAUUAUGGAC
rnacentral:lncRNA from 1 species